GGUACACUUAGGGCUCCUUUGAAACAAGCUGUUCUUCUUUAAGAGCAUAAGGAUACAAGUAUAGCCUUUCAGGAUCAGGCCACAAGAUUCAUCAACACAAUGCUUUCAUGGGACGUUUGGACUGUGGUUGCAAGAAUUAGCUAUGCUUGCUAUUUGGCGCAUCCAAUGAUGAUACUACUGUAUAAUGGACUUCAAGAAACUUUGAUACAUUACUCAGACAUUAAUAUGUUCUACUUGUUCCUUGGACACUGCCUGAUGACAUUCAUGGUAGGCCUGGCAUUAACCGUGAUGGUUGAGAUUCCUCUUCAGAAGCUAAAGAAGGCUUUGGGUUCCAUGCACCAACAUGGAUCAAGGCUUUAGAAAAGGAAGCAGGAAAGGUGUGAUACCUUGCAGACCUCCUCUGGAAAUUCUGAACCUAAUUAAAUUUAUUGGUUUUUUUGUGCCUUCUCUAAAUUGAACCCUCCAAACGUUGUGCUUCAACACUCUGGAUUCCUAUAUCCACAUGGAUAAAGGCUAGAAAUUG